UACGGAGGGUGCAAGCGUUAAUCGGAAUUACUGGGCGUAAAGCGCACGUAGGUGGUUUGUUAAGCUAGAUGUGAAAGCCCCGGGCUCAACCUGGGAAUUGCAUUUAGAACUGGCAGUCUAGAGUAGGGUAGAGGGGUGUGGAAUUCCAGGUGUAGCGGUGAAAUGCGUAGAGAUGUGGAGGAAUAUCAGUGGCGAAGGCGGCACCCUGGACUCACACUGACACUGAGGUGCGAAAGCGUGGGGAGCAAACAGG
rnacentral:rRNA from 1 species